UCCGUUAUGGUGUAGUGGCUAACAUUAUCGCCUCUCAUCUUACUAAGAGCGCGAUAGCCCAGGGUUCGAUUCCCUGUAACGGAA
rfam:Moniliophthora roreri MCA 2997 sctg_0126_0001, whole genome shotgun sequence.